rnacentral:rRNA from 1 species
UACAGAGGGUGCGAGCGUUAAUCGGAAUUACUGGGCGUAAAGCGCACGUAGUCGGCUUUGCAAGUCGGGUGUGAAAUCCCCGGGCUCAACCUGGGAACUGCAUCCGAGACUGCAUUGCUAGAGUAUGGGAGAGGGAAGCGGAAUUUCUGGUGUAGCAGUGAAAUGCGUAGAUAUCAGAAGGAACAUCAGUGGCGAAGGCGGCUUCCUGGACCAAUACUGACGCUCAUGUGCGAAAGCGUGGGGAGCAAACAGG